UUGGCGGACGGGUGAGUAACGCGUGGGUAACCUGCCUUAUACAGGGGGAUAACAACCAGAAAUGGUUGCUAAUACCGCAUAAGCGCACAGGACCGCAUGGUCCGGUGUGAAAAACUCCGGUGGUAUAAGAUGGACCCGCGUUGGAUUAGCUAGUUGGCAGGGUAACGGCCUACCAAGGCGACGAUCCAUAGCCGGCCUGAGAGGGUGAACGGCCACAUUGGGACUGAGACACGGCCCAG
rnacentral:rRNA from 1 species